GCGGAGGAUCAUUAUUGAUUGCGAAUCGUUGUCUUCAGUGCUGGCCAGCUCUCUGGCAAGUGCACGUUGGCGGCCUUUCAUCCAACACCCUGUGCACCUUUGGCCUCUUGCUAGCCUCGGCCAGCAGAGGAUUUUUAUACCCACUCGAAUGUAAUGAAAUUAUUGUCGUGCGCAAGCACUAAUGUACAACUUUCAACAACGGAUCUCUUGGCUCUCGCAUCGAUGAAGAACGCAGCGAAAUGCGAUAAGUAAUGUGAAUUGCAGAAUUCAGUGAAUCAUCGAAUCUUUGAACGCACCUUGCACCCUUUGGCAUUCCGAAGGGUAUGCUCGUUUGAGUGUCAUUGUACUCUCACACUUCUGAUCCUUUGGUGGAUUGGGAGCGGUGGACUUGGGUGCUGCUGCUUUACUGUAGCUCACCCCAAAUGCAUUAGUGCAACUCUUGGUUGGACAUAGUACGGCGUGAUAAGUGUCUUCGCCGGCACCUCGCAAGAGGGUGGCCGAUCGGGAGCUCUGUGCUUCAAACCGUCUUCGGACAACAACUGACAACUUGACCUCAAAUCGAGUAGGACCACCCGCUGAACUUAAGCAUAUCAAUAAGCGG
rnacentral:rRNA from 1 species